rnacentral:lncRNA from 1 species
AUGAAAGGAGAGUCAGAGAGUCCUAGGGUGAGGAUCCUAUCUGCUGUUCCAGACUUUGGAGACAAAAAGAAGUCAGAGCUGAGGACUGUGGAGACUAUAGAACCUGGAAAUGGAACAGAGUAUUGGAAGAGAGUUGUGUCCAGCAACUGAAUGGAUAUUUUGUUUUCCAAGAAUUUUGAGUGAUUAUUUGAAACAUCUUUAACAUUCACAGUGAGUAUCCUGAAAGUCAAGAGGUGUUUUAUUUUGAUAGAAAAAGUAAUGAUCACCUGCCCCACAUUGGACAUGAUGUAUAAUUCAAAACUCUUCAUAGCACUUUUUUCAUAGGACUCUUGCAUAGACUCACACAGGCUCCUGGGUCAAGUUAGCCCCAUGCAGAUUCCAAGACUUGCCAUUUCUAUCAAGAUAGACAAGCUGCCUUCCUCCCCAUACUCAGCGCUGUAGACUCUAUGUAAGAGGGAGAGGAAGAGUGGGUCCAGUGAACUAAUGUGAAGACUGAGAAACCCAGGGAGAUAGAGGGCAGGGUGGCUUUGUAUGAAGCUAACAGGCAGCCUGGAGUACUGCUGUGGGAAAGAGGCUGGCAGAGGAGCUUCUGAAUUCUUUUUUUUUCUCUUUUGAAGGCAGCAGCCUCUAAAGCCAUGCAUUGUCCAAGGGAUAGCAUCGCUACAUUACUACAAAGUAAAGAGGUGAUAGAAGUAAGAAAGGCUGGUGAACCCUGAAGUAUCCCCACUUCUUCUCUUUGGGCAAUUUUUCUAUUAUUAUUGAACACUUACUAUGUUCAAUUUGUCCAUUACUUUAUAUAGUUUAUAUCUAAUUCUUUAAAAAAAUAGAUUCAGAGAGGCUAAGUAAUUUGUUCAGUAUCACAUAGCCAGUAGAGGUAGUACUGGGAUCUGAACUCAGUUCUGCAACAUCACAAGGCCUUCUCUCCCUUCUCUAAGGAUAGUACUAAUCAUCCAAGAGAAAGGUAAGGUCAUCUACAAAGAGAUUUGUAAAGAAUGGUGUAUGAUUAAAAAUAAUUUUAAGAACUUCAGUGUUCUUGUGUAUUUAGGAUCACAUGUUUCAUUUAUUCACUAAACAUUUUUUUAGGAGUGUUUACCAUUUGUCAGACAUUUACUGAGAGAGAUUUACUACUUAAAAGGUUUAAAUUUGUAAUAUUUGGGAUUCAAAUUUCACAAACAGCUGCCUUCAGAUAUUAGAAAUGAAUCUCCCCAGGACUCAUUUUAAAAUUAUGCUAAAAUGGAAAUGUCCUCUGAAACUGGAAAAUCCCCCUAAGUGAAAUAACAUUUGGUUAUUAGUAUUCUUCAGCUAUUAGCAGGCUGCAUAGUGGAGUAAUGAAAACAGUGAAAACAUGAAAGAAUAAAGGGAAAACAGAAGGGUUAUAAAUGAAAACAUCAAAGUAAGUGUGUCUUCUACCUUUUAUUGAUGCAAUGUGAUGUACUAGUCAGAGUACACUUUGCACUCUUUAAAAACCUUCUCUAUGUGAAAACCUCAGAGACUUUAUCUUUCCCAGUAAACACUGAUGAUUAUAGGCCAGGAUAAGAGACAAAACUGUUUAUCAAAGACUAGUCCUUUUAUGGAGAAAGAACAAAUAAGAGGUUUCCCUGCAUUGAACUUAAUCAAACAAAGUAGCUUAAAUGUAGAGUUCCAACCGAAAUAAAUACUUAAAGAGCUUGAUUAGGAGUAUAAAUUCACAUAGUCUCUGACCAUUUCAAACAUAUACUGUUUCAAAGAAAAAGAAACAUCUUACUUAAAAAUAUUAUGUGUAAAAUAAGGCAAAUAUCUUCUUAAUUCAAGUACUGGGUGUUUGCUUAAGUACUUGGUCGGAGCAAUAUCAUGUGAUAGUAUAUUAACCUGUCUUAACUAGUCCAGACAUUAAAUAUUUUUAAACUUAGUUGAUCUUGGAUUAAGAUAAAACAAUAUUUAUAGUUGGACAUUUUAAUGUUCUCAUAAUGUGUGAAAAAUUAUAUUUGAUAGCCAUAUGC